rnacentral:rRNA from 1 species
GACGAACGCUGGCGGCGUGCUUAACACAUGCAAGUCGAGCGGAGCGGCGAACGGGUGAGUAACGCGUGAGUAACUGCCCCCCUCUCUGGGAUAACAGUUGGAAACGGCUGCUAAUACCGGAUAGUGGGGGAUGACUCGCGUCCUAUCAGCUUGUUGGUGGGGUGAUGGCCUACCAAGGCGGUGACGGGUAGCCGGCCUGAGAGGGUGAACGGCCACAUAGGGCGGUGAAAAGGCCCAGACUACUAAGGGGGGGAGCAGUUGGGGAUAUUGCAGAAUGGGCGAAAGCCUGAUGCAGCGACGACGCGUGGGGGAUGAAGGCUUUCGGGUUGUAAACGUCUUUCGCUAUCGAAAGGGUAGGUGGAGAAGAAGCGCAGGCUAACUACGUGCCAGCAGCCGCGGUAAUAC